rnacentral:rRNA from 1 species
UACGUAGGGUGCGAGCGUUGUCCGGAAUUAUUGGGCGUAAAGAGCUCGUAGGCGGUCUGUCGCGUCGGUCGUGAAAACUUGGGGCUUAACCCUGAGCUUGCGGUCGAUACGGGCAUGACUGGAGUUCGGCAGGGGAGACUGGAAUUCCUGGUGUAGCGGUGAAAUGCGCAGAUAUCAGGAGGAACACCGGUGGCGAAGGCGGGUCUCUGGGCCGGUACUGACGCUGAGACGCGAAAGCGUGGGGAGCGAACAGG